AAUAAUUAUGUAUUCACUUGAAUAUAGUUUUACAUAUAAAUGUUAAAAUAUUGUGGUAUUUAAUAUAUUAUUUAUUUGACAUUCAAAUUUAAUAAGGAUACAAAUGUAAAAGUACAUAUUUUCAGCUUUUUCAAUUAAAAAAACAAACAACUUAAUACUUAUUUUUCGAGAUUUAGACGAAAAAACAAACAUAUUAUUCAGAUUCAGACAUUCAGAUUUAUUCAGAAUUCAGACUAAUUCAGGUCUAUUCAGAUUUCAGACAAAAAAACAAACGCCGCCUUAGUCAAAAUGAAUCUCACUUAAUUUCUUCGAAAUAUCAAGGAUUAGAUUCUUAGUGGGUUGAGUGUUAUUUCAACAAGAUUUUAGGGAAGAAGAUUCUAACCUCUAUAAAAACCUCAGAAAAUUCAGAUGAAGAUAAGUUCAAUUUUUUUCUCCUUACUCUAUCUUUUAUUUCUUAGUCUUUUCACUUAGAAGAUUUUUUUUUUCUUUCCUUUCCCAUUUUACUAAAAACCAGGCAUUAUUUAUCUUAUUUUUCUAAUAAACUCAUAAAACUGGCUUAAACGUCGGAGGGUUAACAUCAGAAAAACUUAUAAUACCUCUUAAUAUCUAUUGAGCUUUGAAAUGCUCAUGGAUUAUCUGCUUGUGGUUGUAGGGUGUCCUUGGAGAUUGGCAAGCUGCUUCCCUCUAAAUAAACUUAAUGUUGGUGCAGAGAUCUAAUAUGUAGACGCUAAUCAAGCCGACCAUAUUUCGGCAUAAUAUUAUGGAUUUAAAAUUUUCUCAGACGUUUGAUUUUAUUUUAAUAAAUUGUAAUAUAAAAAAAUUAUAGUUCCAGUCUAUUAUAAUGAUUUAAAUUAAGUGCUGCACUGAACUUUGUGAUAAGCAUUUUAUAGUAUUGUGACUAAUCACUAAUAGUUAUUCGAUGAAAAAUAACAUAUGUUUAAAUCUUAACCGUAAACAAUUAUAAAUACAUGCUGUGCCUAAAGACUAUAAAAACUUAAUUCAUUUUAGCACCAGAUCAAAACUCUUAUUAGGUGAGCAUGAAUUAAAUUGGGUCAUAAUUCUCCAGCUCAUUAGGUGGCUGAAAUUCAACCUAAACCAGAACGACUUCUGCUUGGAUGUAAAAUUGACACAGAAAUUGGGAUGGCAAUGAAAACAAUUUUCUGCUCCUGUGGGCGCAUCAUGAAAAGAGAGUUCUGAUUUGAUGCAAUUUUGACCCUCUAUUAUUUUUAUCCAUAGAUGUUUAGAACGUACUGAUAUACAACGCUUUUGAUGGAUCAAGAGAAAUAUAGUGCUGUUAAUGGAGUUGAUCAUGAUUAUGAAAAUAGACUGAUGCGCUAGGAGAUUGACCAAGUCACUCAUUUAAGCUUUAUAUUAUGGGUCGGAUAGAGUCUCUGUGGGCCUGACUUAUAUUGUUAAGUCCAUUUUGGGAGAUUAACCUGCAAACCAAAAUUGAAAAGAGCGGUGAUAUUUAUUCUCUUAAUUUGUGUCAUCAGCUUUUAGGAAUAGUAAUGGGUGAUAUCCACUGCUGAGUUUAUUAUUAAAUUCA
rnacentral:lncRNA from 1 species